GACGAGGAAAGUCCGGGCUCCGCAGGGCAGGAUGCCGGAUAACGUCCGGCAGGGGUAACCCUCGGGAAAGCGCAGCAGAAAAGAACCGCCCCGCCGAGGCGGGGUAAGGGUGAAAAGGCAGUGUAAGAGACUACCGCCUUUCCGGUAACGGAAAGGGCAUAUGCAAGCCCCAUCCGGAGCAAGGCUGAGAGUGAGCGAUACGGCGGCCCGCCGUGCUCCAGGUAAGCCGCUUGAUCCGUCCGGCGACGGGCGGGCUAGACAGAUGGCCGCACGCGACAGAACCCGGCUUAUCGUUCUGCCU
rnacentral:RNase_P_RNA from 1 species